rnacentral:rRNA from 1 species
CCUACGGGUGGCUGCAGUGGGGAAUAUUGGGCAAUGGGCGCAAGCCUGACCCAGCAACGCCGCGUGAAGGAAGAAGGCUUUCGGGUUGUAAACUUCUUUUAAUAGGGAAGAGCAGAAGACGGUACCUCUUGAAUAAGCCACGGCUAACUACGUGCCAGCAGCCGCGGUAAUACGUAGGUGGCAAGCGUUGUCCGGAUUUACUGGGUGUAACGGGCGUGUAGCCGGGCUGACAAGUCAGAUGUGAAAUUCCGGGGCUCAACCCCGGACCUGCAUUUGAAACUGUUGGUCUUGAGUAUCGGAGAGGCAGGCGGAAUUCCGAGUGUAGCGGUGAAAUGCGUAGAUAUUGGGAGGAACACCAGUGGCGAAGGCGGCCUGCUGGACGACAACUGACGGUGAGGCGCGAAAGCGUGGGGAGCGAACAGGAUUAGAUACCCUUGUAGUC